rnacentral:tRNA from 2 species
AAGAAAGUGGCAGAGUGGUUAAGCGGUUGACUUGAAAUCAACACACGGGGGUUCGAUUCCUUCCUUUCUUG